rnacentral:rRNA from 1 species
UAAAGGUAUUCCGGUAGACGAUGGGGAUGCGUUCCAUUAGAUAGUAGGCGGGGUAACGGCCCACCUAGUCUUCGAUGGAUAGGGGUUCUGAGAGGAAGGUCCCCCACAUUGGAACUGAGACACGGUCCAAACUCCUACGGGAGGCAGCAGUGAGGAAUAUUGGUCAAUGGGCGAGAGCCUGGACCAGCCAAGUAGCGUGAAGGAUGACUGCCCUAUGGGUUGUAAACUUCUUUUAUAAAGGAAUAAAGUCGGGUAUGGAUACCCGUUUGCAUGUACUUUAUGAAUAAGGAUCGGCUAACUCCGUGCCAGCAGCCGCGGUAAUACGGAGGAUCCGAGCGUUAUCCGGAUUUAUUGGGUUUAAAGGGAGCGUAGAUGGAUGUUUAAGUCAGUUGUGAAAGUUUGCGGCUCAACCGUAAAAUUGCAGUUGAUACUGGAUAUCUUGAGUGCAGUUGAGGCAGGCGGAAUUCGUGGUGUAGCGGUGAAAUGCUUAGAUAUCACGAAGAACUCCGAUUGCGAAGGCAGCCUGCUAAGCUGCAACUGACAUUGAGGCUCGAAAGUGUGGGUAUCAAACAGGAUUAGAUACCCUGGUAGUCCACACGGUAAACGAUGAAUACUCGCUGUUUGCGAUAUACUGCAA